GAUGAACGCUGGCGGCGUGCCUAAUACAUGCAAGUCGAGCGAACAGACCAGGAGCUUGCUCCUCUGACGUUAGCGGCGGUAGGGCGAGUAACACGUGGACAACCUACCUAUAAGACUGGGAUAACAUCGGGAAACCAGAGCUAAUACCGGGUAAUAUAUUGAACCGCAUUGUUCAAUAGUGAAAGACGGUUUUGCUGUCACUUAUAGAUUGAUCCGCGGCGCAUUAGCUAGUUGGUAAGGUAACGGCUUACCAAGGCAACGAUGCGUAGCCAACCUGAGAGGGUGAUCAGCCACACUGGUACUGAGACACGGCCCAGACUCCGAGAGGAGGCAGCAGUACGGACUCGUCCGGAAGGGGCGAAAGCCUGACGGAGCAACGCGGCGGGAGGGAUGAACGACUUCGGAUGGGUGAACUCUGUUAUUAGGGAAGAAAAAACGCGUAAGUAACUAGGCACGUCUUGACGGUACCUGAUGAAAAAGCCACGGCUAACUACGUG
rnacentral:rRNA from 1 species